rnacentral:rRNA from 1 species
GAUGAACGCUGGCGGCGUGCCUAAUACAUGCAAGUCGAGCGAACGGACGAGAAGCUUGCUUCUCUGAUGUUAGCGGCGGACGGGUGAGUAACACGUGGAUAACCUACCUAUAAGACUGGGAUAACUUCGGGAAACCGGAGCUAAUACCGGAUAAUAUUUUGAACCGCAUGGUUCAAAAGUGAAAGACGGUCUUGCUGUCUGUUCUAGAUGGAUCCGCGCUGCAUUAGCUAGUUGGUAAGGUAACGGCUUACCAAGGCAACGAUGCAUAGCCGACCUGAGAGGGUGAUCGGCCACACUGGAACUGAGACACGGACCAGACGCCUACGGGAGGCAGCAGUAGGGAAUCUUACGCAAUGGGCGAAAGCCUGACGGAGCAGCGCCGCGUGAGUGAUGAAGGUCUUCGGAUCGUAAAACUCUGUUAUUAGGGAAGAACAUAUGUGUAAGUAACUGUGCACAUCUUGACGGUACCUAAUCAGAAAGCCACGGCUAACUACGUG